AAUACAGAACAUCAGUUACAUUUGAAUUUCAGAUAAAGAGUGAAGUUUUUUAGUAUAAGUAUGCCUCAUGCAAUACUUGGGAUAUACUUAUACUAAAAAUAUAUUCAUCCUUUAUCUAAAAUUCUAAUUUAACUGUGCAUCUUAUAUUUU
ensembl:miRNA